UUAAGAGCUGCGGGUUUACCAAACACAAUAUCAUCCCCCCCCCCCCGUAAUAUAAAGGGAGUGAAACAGAAGCCGUGUGGGAGAUAAGGCGGCAGCACCCAGCAGCUCAUAUGGAAUUACUGCAGUGACCUUGACCAAGAGGUGGCCAGAACUCCUAUGCCACCCACCCGCUCUCUGCCACCAGGGAAGAUGCCAGCACAGGACAUUCUUCCAUUGUACGUGACUGAUGUAAAACUUGGAUCUACCUGGUGGUGUAUUAACAGAUUUUCCUGUGGGUAGAUGAACACAUGGAGCCUGGUUUCAAUAGGCUGGACUGAAGAUAUGGAUCCAUGGAGACAUGGAUAGGCUUUGCCAUCCUUUACGGUAAAGCUCCAAAGGAAAGGAUCCCUGCCUCUGAGACAAUCACGUUGCCUCUAGAACGUGCAGACUCCCUCUCUCCUAGAAACAGAUGGCUUGAGCAGUUUGAGUUGGGCAGAUUCACAAGCUGAUAAUCAUCUCCAGGGAGGCAGGAGCUAUUGUCAGAGCCUGUGAGACACACCCCAACUUCAGGCCUUUUUCCUCCUAAUUCUCAAAAUGUUGCUGAAAUUCUCACUCCAGGAAUGCUGAGCAGAGACAUUCCCUUUGUGGGUCUGUGCCCACUAAGCCAGAGGAGCCUCCUGCUGCUACAGAAGCCAAAAUGCUUCCCCACAACCCACUAAGAGAAAACAUCUCAAAACACGAGGGGCCUCACCUGGCCAGUGAAAAAAACCAAGCUGUUCUUUGCCAUGGUACUGCUGGGAGCCAAGAGGAGGAAUAGAUCCUCUCCCCAGGGACAGCACAGGAGAGGCAAUGAGAAAGCAGAAGACGCCAAUUCAGCAGAAGGAGCAGCCAUUUCACGCUCCAUGGGCAGCUCCAAGCCGUGUGCCAGCCCAGGGACAGGGGCACGUGCCCGAGGGACACACCUAGAGCCACUGAACUCACGGCUGAGCGCUGCUCAGCACGGACAGGCAUCUGCUGCCUAAGAGCUCCAGUGGGAUCACCAUCCCCAGUUAAUGAUCUGCUCUGAUGUCAUUGCUCUACAGGGCCAAAGCCUUGCUGGGGAAUGCUGUCCAGCUGCUUUAGCAGGAAGGUGGCACUUCCUGACACCAGGCCAAGACAGACCCCACACACAGCUCACUCUGCCCUGGGAACCUGCUGCAAGUGAAGUCCAACGUGCCACGCUCAGGCGUGGGAUGCCUCCACAAAAAGCCCCAUUCCAGCAGUGAUGCACACAGAUGGAAAAUGGUGAUGAGCCCAGACACACAGGCAGAUGGACAGACAGGAGGGGUGGCUCUUACACAAGGCCUUACCAUGGCUCACAACUUUUAUAGCACAAAUUUUACUCAUUUAAUUCAAGAGUGAUUAGUCUUGGCAGGAAGCAUGUAAAACCUGGCUCAGAAUGGGGCAUGGGUACCUGGAGCUCAAUGGAAAGAGAUGGCAAGAUCAGCACAAGAAGGAAAUUUGUGAGUGCAAAACCAGGCAGGGUGGCACACCCCUUGGGACAGUGCUUUUAGUGGGAUCCAGAAUGCCUCAGAGAAGCCUCCUAUCAGCAAGUCCCAAGGCGAGACUGGACAAGCAGCCAAAAAUAUGAUAAAAACCAGGAUGGAUUUGUCUACUGUCCUGGUACCAGUGUUCAUGACUACAAGGAACACCCUGCUCACUCACCUGCUAGCCAAGCACAAUCAAGACACAAAGAACAUACCUCAUGUCGACUGGCACUUUUAAAUUCUCCUUUAGCAGAAAUACCAGUAUUUUCCAGCCUUAACGUUUCCUGAGGUGGUGAUAUUUCUUGCCUUGUCUCUUCUUGGCAAGCAUCAUCUGUAGCAGUAACAGAUGAUCUAGCAAUAGUCUCACAUCAUAGUGUGUCAGAAAAGAGGCAGCCCAGUAUUUGUAAUCACUGAAUCACUUCAGAAAGAAGAAUCUCCACUCCAUCUGUGUAAACAUGGUUAUUUAUUUUUUUUAAAGGAAGUCUAUUUCUACAUACAAAGGGCUUCACUCUCCCACUUCAGAGCAUGUUACUGCUUUAGAUCCUCAAAUAAAGAUACCAUUUCACUCACCAUUGAAUCCAGAAGCCUGUAAACCUGCAGAAAUUCAGAGAAAACAGUUGAGUGAAAACACAUGAAGAAGUCCUGGGGCUGAGACUGACAGAGAUGGUUUCUGAGGUACAUUUUCAUAUGGGCACACACACAACCACACAGAAGUGGCAGCCUGCUGCUAACAGAGCUCUAGUAAUAACUUCCCUGGCUAUGAAGUGUGUUUAACAUUAUCUGAGGCACAAUUAAUUCAGCUGAUCCCUCCAGAGUCUGCAAGCAAUGCUAAAGACAUCCCAGAUACAAGUCCCGCAUGUGGCUAUGUGAUGGCUGGAUUUCUGCUAACAGAUUCCAGGCUGAAACAAAUUAAUUUGGAUUUCACACUUACCUUGCUGCAGCACAAGGGACAUGUGUCUGCCAGUUUUCUGAGUUUAACAAAAUGCUUACCUCUCUCCCUGAGCCUCAGUGUGCUUUACAAGAAAACAACAAAACCAAGACAAUGACACAAGCUUUGGUCAGACUCACUUCAAUGUAGAGCUUUUCCUGGUAUUUUUGAAGUGAAAUAGAGUCCACCUGCUCCUGAGCAGGUUCUGCCUCAUCUCUAGGUGCAGCUCCCUCUCCCACCUUCUGCUUCUCAUCUCUUCCUUUGACAGACUUUUCUCCCCCUUUUAUGUCCUGCACUGAAAUGGAAGAUACUCGCUUCUCAUCUUUUGUUUUCAGCUUUCUGCUGCUCGAAUGAUCCUAAUCAAGGACAGACCAAGGAAAAAAGGGACAUAGGUCAGGACACUGCUCAGACUGCUGCAAGACGCACCUCCCAGCAGCAGCACCUCUUUCACUGGGUUGGAAAUCAGCUUCAACUCAGGAUAUGCAACCUCAGGAUGGAUCCCACUGUCCCCAGCACUCAGGGUUCACCAAGCAUCCCAGCACCUACCGAUUUCCCUGAUGACCCUCUACUUUUUUUGCCUUCUUUUUCCUUUUUCUCUUCUCUUUUAGUGGCUGUUUUGUCUUCCUUUCCUCCUUUUUUUGCUCCUCCUUGCUCUACUUCCUCUACAAAAGAGAGGACUUCAAUUAACCAAAAGCAUCCACACAUCCAGAAAGUCCAGCCCACUGCACUAGCACAGUGGGAGUGUGUUACUUUUGCAGUGUAUUUUCCUCUUUUUAUUAAUCUGAGCUGUACUGCACUGAAAAACAAUACCUUGAAGAGUUCUUUGUUUAAAUAAGGAAUGAAGAGGUCUCACUGAGGCAGUGUUUGCUGGGUCAGUCCGUGGCUACACCUAGUUGAAUUAAAAGGCUUUUUGUGGGGGUGUUUUUUUACUGAUGCCAAACCACAGAUCCCAAUUAGUAUUGUGACAGUCACAAAACCUGCCAGUUUUUCCCUGAUGCUUUUUCUUCAGGGAGACAUGCUGAAAUUGACAUUUCAGUUCAAAUUCAUCAUGUUUUCUGUAUUUCCAACAGCCCACAGAAAGCAGUUGCUGUGCUAAAACCACCAUUUACCUGUUUCCUCUGGAACAGCUUCUACAUAGGUGUCCUUCUUAAUCAAACCAAGCAGGGAUCUCAGCCUCAGAGAGUGACUCACCAGGUCAUCAACUGCUCCACGCCACAGCUGGAGGCUGAGAAAAGGAUCAGGAUCAGAAGGGAGACAGUGCAGCAGCUGCCACCUUGUCUGAGCCUGUGCCCAGAAAUGAAGGCACCUUAUAGCUGACAGCUGCCCUGUGCAACUAAACCAACAAAACAGCACCCACUGUCUAAAUAUCUGUGCAGGGGGAUGCUAAAUUGCUUUCCUCACGUUAGAUCCCUCCGAGAUCUCAGUGGUUUGCAAAUCAACAGGCUCCCAGGAACCCAUAAAUAUUACUGUGAAACUAGGUCUGCUCUUCAACAUGACACACGUUGGUAAAUCAGCAUCAACCUGCUCUGUGUUUACCAAGAGGAACCUGCAUCAUUCUAAUUUAGAAGCGACUCAAAGCUGUUGAAAUGUUUACAGUCUGAAAGCCUGAGCAAAGAACAGAGAGACUGUAUGAGGGAGGAGACAGUUAUCUGAGUAAAAGGGUACAGAAAAUACCCAAAGGUUUCAUAAAUACAGACUGGAAUAAUCUUGCCAGAAAUAAUCUUGUACACUCUCCAAAAUUACAUGCAUUUAAUAUUCUAAACUUAUCUCCAGG